rnacentral:rRNA from 1 species
GACGAACGCUGGCUGCGUGCCUAAUACAUGUAAGUCGAGCUAAAUUUUUCUGUUGCUUGCACUAGAAAAACUUAGCGGCGAACUGGUGAGUAACACGUAACGAACCUGCCUCAUCGCCUGGGACAACUAUUGGAAACGAUAGCUAAUACCGGAUAACAGUAUUUCUCUCAUGAGAGGUAUUUAAAAGUUGAUUAUUCUUACACUAUGAGUUGGCUUUGCGGUGCAUUAGCUAGUUGGUGGGGUAAAGGCCCACCAAGGCGACGAUGCAUAGCCGACCUGAGAGGGUGAUCGGCCACACUGGGACUGAGACACGGCCCAGACUCCUACGGGAGGCAGCAGUAGGGAAGCUUCCGCAAUGGGCGAAAGCCUGACGGAGCAACGCAGCGUGAGUGAAGAAGGAUUUCGGUUCGUAAAGCUCUGUUGUUAGGGAAGAAUGGAUAUGUAGUAACUAUACAUGUAAGAGACGGUACCUAACCAGAAAGCAACGGCUAACUACGUG